rnacentral:rRNA from 1 species
AGAGUUUGAUCCUGGCUCAGAUUGAACGCUGGCGGCAUGCCUUACACAUGCAAGUCGAACGGCAGCACGGGGGCAACCCUGGUGGCGAGUGGCGAACGGGUGAGUAAUGCACCGGAACGUACCGUGUAAUGGGGGAUAACUAGCCGAAAGGAUAGCUAAUACCGCAUACGCCCUGAGGGGGAAAGCGGGGGACUCGUAAGAGCCUCGCGUUAUACGAGCGGCCGAUGCCCGAUUAGCUAGUUGGUGAGGUAAAGGCUCACCAAGGCGACGAUCGGUAGCGGGUCUGAGAGGACGAUCCGCCACACUGGAACUGAGACACGGUCCAGACUCCUACGGGAGGCAGCAGUGGGGAAUUUUGGACAAUGGGCGAAAGCCUGAUCCAGCAAUGCCGCGUGAGUGAAGAACGCCCUUGGGUUGUAAAGCUCUUUCGGUCGGGAAG